CCUUCGCCGUCGUCCGGGUCUGGUGGAGGCGCUAGCGUCGCUCGCCGCGAGGGUGCGCUGGCGCCGGGGACCCGAGACACGCAAAAGCGAGACGUGGUCCGCGCAGUUGAAGCCGGCGCGCUAGGUGUCCCGCGCAGUUUGGCAAGUGUUGGCGAUGCACAAAUUCGCGCUUUCAGUUUACGCAAUGGCAGCAACGUGAACGUCAGCCUAUAGGCAAGGCAAGAACAUCGGAAGACGCCUGAGAAUUUCUCACCCGAGAGCUCUUGAUACUGUCUGGCGCCGUAGCUGCGAAUGCAAACUACCUGCCAAAACAUGCACACCGGCGUGGUCGUCCUGCACAGCGCCUCGUCCGAAGCUAUCCAGAGCGGUCUGCUUCUGGAUGGACCAACAGGAACAGCUGGCCCAGCUGACCACCUUCGACAAAACGUUACGAGGCUGUUGCGAGCACAAAUGAAAACAAAAGCUUUCCAUUCAAAGCUCUUCCAAGCGUGUGAAAAACACAACGGCAAGCAUAUGGUGCAAUUCCAUGAUCAUCCGUACGAUGUAUUGGGCACGAAGGACAACGACAUUACAUAAGGAUGAACUUACAGCACCAAAUGCACAACAUAAUGCCCUACAAUGCUGAAAGCCUGACUGGUACUAAGGCAGUAUACAAGCUUGUGAGUUCCCGAGGGUUUUCCUGAGAACAGUAGCGUCGCCAGGCUGCACUUCACCGAAAACAAUGCGAGCGCGAUGCUUUAGACUGGCAUUAAGAUGUGGUCUACCUGUACUGAACGACACAUGCAAGACAAACAUUCGUGCUCUGCAGGCGGCACAAGCUCAAGCACUCAGUUUGCCUUGGUUUGCCCAGAUGCACGUCAACAGAGGCAACUAUUGCAAUUACUCGGGACCAACCAAUGAAAACUCACAUUACGGUGGAAGCACUGAGAACGCACAUCAGGCCUUUUGCACGUGCCCCCUAUCAUCACCUUGCAACUCUACCUUCAGACAGGCACCAAUCAUCAUUCUCUAAAGCUAUCGUCAAGUACAACGAAAAACUUCCCUCGGGCUUCACCACUGCACCUAAACCAUCGAUACCCCCCCUGGUGGCUUAUCAGCCCCACAGUCCAUCUCAGUGUACAAGGAAUCGGGAAAAAGUCUGAGCUGUCAUCGACUGUGCAGAAACAACUGUCUCUGCUUCUGCACGAGAGGUUGGUGCUGCGAUCUCAAUGACCUACAUCACAGGACAGGCCAUUGUCGUUGUUGGCACGGCGCAAACCUACAUCGACCUGAAAACGAUCAACGCCAAGGCAGUGGGGCACGCACUCAUGAAGUAGACAGCACUGGUGAAACUCGGCAGCCUUUCUUUCCUGACCUGGCUACCCUUUCCAGCUUUUCAUUCUUGAGAUAGCAGCAGUUUUGUUGAGACGGCCACACUUUCCUUCACUUUGAGAAAGAAGCCUUGUUAUGUGAAGAUUUUUCGUGAUGUCAUUGUGUUUACACGGUAAUUUUGAACAACCGGAAGGUUCUCUUCUUGUUUCUUGCUGAAAACAAUGUUUUCGGUAGUUACAUAUGCUACACGCGUGUUAAUUUUGUUACAUUCCUUUGAUGCUACCCUUAGUCGUUCCAUAAUUUGUUGUAGAAUUCACACCUAUUAGCUUAAGCUCCCGUCUAUGUGAGAAACUGUGAACUCUGUCUGCUAAGCCUAACCACCUAAAUUUGUGUUUUAUGGGCUUUCACGUCAUUUUCUUGUGCUUUUUGCUCAACAUUAAAAAAAUAAUUUACAUAUGAUUAUUUGUACAGCGUUUGUUUUUAGCUUUCUAGCUUAAAUCUAUACACAUUUUUUGUCUGUUUGAUU